rnacentral:rRNA from 1 species
GACAGAGGGUGCAAACGUUGUUCGGAAUUACUGGGCGUAAAGCGCGUGUAGGCUGCUCCGAAAGUCGGAUGUGAAAGCCCUGGGCUCAACCUAGGAAGUGCAUUCGAAACUUCGGAGCUGGAGUCCUGGAGAGGAAGGCGGAAUUCUCGGUGUAGAGGUGAAAUUCGUAGAUAUGGGGAGGAACACCGGUGGCGAAGGCGGCCAUCUGGACGGAUACGUGACGCUGAGGAGCGAAAGCUAGGGGAGCAAACAGGG